AGUGAACGCUGGCGGUAGGCCUAACACAUGCAAGUCGAACGGCAGCACAGUAAGGGCUUGCUCUUACGGGUGGCGAGUGGCGGACGAGUGAGGAAUACAUCGGAAUCUACUUUUUCGUGGGGGAUAACGUAGGGAAACUUACGCUAAUACCGCAUACGACCUACGGGUGAAAGCAGGGGAUCUUCGGACCUUGCGCGAUUGAAUGAGCCGAUGUCGGAUUAGCUAGUUGGCGGGGUAAAGGCCCACCAAGGCGACGAUCCGUAGCUGGUCUGAGAGGAUGAUCAGCCACACUGGAACUGAGACACGGUCCAGACUCCUACGGGAGGCAGCAGUGGGGAAUAUUGGACAAUGGGCGCAAGCCUGAUCCAGCCAUACCGCGUGGGUGAAGAAGGCCUUCGGGUUGUAAAGCCCUUUUGUUGGGAAAGAAAAGCAGCAGGUUAAUACCCCGCCGUUCUGACGGUACCCAAAGAAUAAGCACCGGCUAACUUCGUG
rnacentral:rRNA from 1 species